rnacentral:rRNA from 1 species
ACAUCCAGCGAACUUGGCAGAGAUGCCUUGGGUGCCCUUCGGGAACGCUGAGACAGGUGCUGCAUGGCUGUCGUCAGCUCGUGUUGUGAAAUGUUGGGUUAAGUCCCGCAACGAGCGCAACCCUUUAUCCUUUGUUGCCAGCGAUUCGGUCGGGAACUCAAAGGAGACUGCCGGUGAUAAACCGGAGGAAGGUGGGGAUGACGUCAAGUCAUCAUGGCCCUUACGAGUAGGGCUACACACGUGCUACAAUGGCGCAUACAAAGAGAAGCGACCUCGCGAGAGCAAGCGGACCUCAUAAAGUGCGUCGUAGUCCGGAUCGGAGUCUGCAACUCGACUCCGUGAAGUCGGAAUCGCUAGUAAUCGUGGAUCAGAAUGCCACGGUGAAUACGUUCCCGGGCCUUGUACACACCGCCCGUCACACCAUGGGAGUGGGUUGCAAAAGAAGUAGGUAGCUUAACCCUCGGGAGGGCGCUUACCACUUUGUGAUUCAUGACUGGGGUGAAGUCGUAACAAGGUAGGCGUAGCGAG